CCCGUCACGAUGCCUCCACGAUCCCUGGAUCCCCGCCGACCAAGCCACCGCGCCCCCCACCCCGCCGGCCCUGCGCCUCACCUUCCGGCCAGCCCCGCGCCAACGACCCCGCGCCUCCCCUCCCCGCCGGUCCCGCGUGCCUCCUGGAUCGUGUCGCCACCGGACACCCACGCCGCCGUCCUCUGCCCCAACCACUUCUGCCACUUACAUCUGCCCCGACCACUUCAGCCGCCGUCGUCCUCCCGCCGACCACCUCCACUACCGCUCUCCGCCCCGACCACCUCUGUCGCCGCCCUCAACCCUACCCACCUCCGUCCCAGCCCUGCGUCCCAGCCACCUCCGCCGCGCCUGCCCCAACCACCUCCUCCAUGGCCGCCCUCCGUCCCGACCACCCCCGCCACCAACCUCCCUGCGGCGCGACCUUCCCUCUGCUCCAUCGCGACCUUCCCUCUGCUCUAGCGCGGCUUGCCCUCUUCUCCGGCGCGUCCUCCACAACCUUCCUUCUCUCUCCACUGCGACGGCAACACAGGGAGCCAUAGCUCGUCACCGCCCGAUUUGUUUUGGUUGUUGCUAUUUUGUUUAAUUUCUUUCGGCUUCUUGCAAGAUCUGUGUGUUGGGGCAAUGAACUUUGCAAAAAUUGUAGUUCACGUCAUGCUUUUGCUUGAACCCGUGCACCACUACUUCCGAAAUCAGCUCUACUCGUUCAAGCUACAGAGCAUUUUCUUCAGGGGAAUGGAGAGCACCCUCACCCUGACCCGAUCUGCAGCGCCGCCCUGAGUCCUCCCAACGCAGCCCCAAGCCGUUCAACUACGCAGCCCCGGGCUGUUCAACGACGGAGCCGCCGGCCGUUCAUGAACGCAACACAACCCUGGAUCCUGCUGCUCAACGUCCAGUUCAACUUCUGCUGAAUCCGGUAAAGGGAGACUUCUUGUGAGAGCAAUUCCCUCUUAAUUUUUUUUCGUUCAAAGUUCUAAUUUGCUAGCUACUUGAGCUUCAGCUAGCCUGUGUAUGUGGCUACCAAGGUGGCAUGCAUUUAGUGCUACUUUGUUUUCGUAUCCACAUGUCGCCAACGGCACUACGAAGAGGAAGGGCCUUGUGAAGUUCAGUUUGUUUCACUUUCUAAAGUUCGGUUUCUUGAUUUUCCGAAGUUCAGUUUGUUGAUUUUCUGAAGAAAAAGGUUGCUUCACUUGCACUCCUCUAUCUGGUCCUGUGUGGUGAUCUCCUCGACUCCUAGGUUAGGCACAAACUGAGAAUUGUAGGCAUCUUUUGAGUUUAAAAUGCUUGAAUCUACAGUACAGGAUUAGAUAACUUCCAGAAGGUCUAUAGUUCAUACCCCGCUGUCAUAGCAGCGAGCAGUCGUAGGUCGUCUGGCGUGCUCUUGGCUUGUUCUGUUGAGAAAAGUUCAGAAAACUAACUGAACUCUUGGCACGGUCUGGCGGUGUUUGGCUGCAUCGGCCACCAGACUGCCAACCUCCACCACCUGACGGCAAGGAGCCAAGGUGGUGAGCUGUUGACGCUGGCACAACACCCCGACGCAAGCGAGUCAAUUGUAGCCAACGCAAGGAGAGAUUAGUAUAGUGGUUUGUAGUGUUCAAAUCCAUACAUGGCGUUUUCUGGUGGAAUUGGUUAACAUGAAGGAGCUACGGGUUAAUACUACAAGCGCUUCACUUAAAUAGUCCUAGUUGUCCACCAACUUUUAGUCAUUCGCUUUUGCAAGAAGUGCUCAUCUUUUUCCUAUUGCAUGACUAGCUUUCAAUGGUGAUGGCUCUGAUUUUUUUGGGAGAUGUAUGAGAACAAAGGUGCAUGUGUGGUAGAAAAAAGAUUUCUUUGUACAUAUAUACUGUGGUCAUUUUGUUCUUUGGACUAUGGAUGUUUAUGACAUUGGAUUGCUCUGGUUUUAUUGAACAUAUAAAAAAUAUUGACACUAGAUUGCUAUGGUUUUAUACACAUUUGUUUGCGUUUAUCCUCUGAAAAAAUUGGCCAUUG